GCACUAGCUACUACAUCCUGCCGGUGAUCCGUGGGAGAGGUGGUGGGCUCAAAAUGGCUAGCACUGUAAGAAGAACCUGCCCAUUUGAUGUUGUCCAGGACCGAUAUGAGGCAUCAAAUGGUCUCCUACUGAAACUCACACCUGUGAACACCAAGAAAGGUGUCGUCCGCGUCCACACCGAUCUUAACAUAAGAUUCUCUGCUGCAUCAAUCUGUCACCAGUCAACAACGUGGAAGCUUGACAACUAUGAUGAAUGGACAAAACAAUGGUUUGUCACAACCAAUGGAGUUGAAGGAAAUCCUGGUCCGGAAACAACGAACAACUGGUUCAAGAUUGAGAAGUUCGAAGACAAGUACAAGCUAGUUUUGUGCCCUACAGUGUGUCAACACUGCAAAGUUAUGUGCAAAGAUAUCGGGAUUUUUGUUGAUGGCAAAGGAGUAAGGCGUCUGGCUCUUAGCAGCGUGCCUCUCAAAGUUAUGUUCAAGAUGGCUUGAAGAUCAUGAUCGAUGAUGCAUGCUCAAACACUAUCAGAUGACAGCUACUAUCCCGUAUUGUUAGUGAUUUGAAUAACUUCAAAUUCAAAUCUAAGUGUAUCUAUAAGUUGAUAGGAUCUUAUCUUUUGUUAUCUCUAUAACAGACAUGUACGUGUAUUAUAUAAACACUGGAAAGUGAAUGGAAUGAAUUGAGCUUUCCUUCCUUCUCUGUAAUACGUCUAUCAUGGUAUCAGAGCUCUCAUUUUUAUUCAGUGAAUAAUUCUUCACGUUAUUCACUUCUCUGUUAUGGCUACUCAAACCAAUUCAGCAGACAAUCCAAAUUUGUCCAAUCCAACCAUGUCAACAAAUUCAACCAUUCUACACAGUAAUGAAUUUCAACUCAUCACCAUAAACACUUCUGCUCAAGCCCCACUUAAACUCACCUCCAGCAACUAUAUUUCUUGGAAACUUCAGUUCCAAACUCUUUUUAUUGGAUACGAUAUUCUUGGCUACAUUGACGGAUCUAAACUUUGUCCAUCUGCCACUAUCUUGACAGACCAUUCAACCAUACCAAAUCCUGCCUACCACAUUUGGAUUCGUCAGGAUCAGCUCAUUCUCAAUGCCCUCAUUGGGUCACUUUCUCCUACACUAAUUCCAUUUGUUGCCAGAUCCACAACAUCACGUGAAGCAUGGAACAUUUUAGCCAACACCUAUGCCAAACCAUCACGAGGACGUAUUAAACAAGUCAAGGCUCUUUUCAAACAGUCCACUAAAGGUAAUUUAAAUAUUACUGACUUUCUUCAAUCAGUUAAGGCUCGUCUAGAUGAGCUUGUAAUACUGGGAGCACCAAUCGAUGAGGAAAAUCUUACUGAAAAGAUUCUUGAUGAACUAGACGACGACUAUAAAGAAUUGGUCCUUGCUAUUCAAGCUCGUGAUAAUUCUAUCUCGUUUGAUGAGCUUCAUGAGAAACUGUUGACAUUUGAAGCCUUGUUACAGGGAAAAACAAAGUCAUUCACUCACUUUCCAGUGAGUGUCAAUCCCACUCAUAGAACCAGCACACCCUGGCGACAUCCAAACACCAUUUCUAAUUGGCGUUCCAAUUCUAAUGGGCAACCAGGGUGGCGCCCGUCACACAAUUCUCAUCCCCGUCCCCGUGAUAAUCGUCCAUCAUCACGUCCAUACUUGGGCUACUGUCAAAUAUGCAGUACUCAAGGACACACAGCCAAGAGGUGUCCAUCCUUUCAAAUAACACCUAUUCACUCAUCCAACAAGGCCUCUGCACUACAAUCCAGUACUUCAUCAACCCCUUGGCAACCUCGGGCUCACUUUGCUGCUAAUGUUGCCUCCUCCAAUUCCACUUGGUUACUUGACAGUGGUGCCUCUCACCAUGUCACAGCAGAUCUCAAUAAUUUGUCUCUUCAUGCUCCUUACACUGGAUCUGACGAUGUCAUGAUUGGAGAUGGAACGGGGCUCUCCAUCACUCACACUGGUUCCACUUCUCUUCUCACUAAAACAUCUGCAUUCCAACUAAAUGAUGUCCUAUGUGUGCCUGAUAUCAAAACAAACUUAAUCUCUAUCUAUCAGUUUUGUGUCACUAAUAAUGUCUCUGUUGAAUUUUUACCAACGUGUUUUCAGGUGAAGGAGCUUCACACGGGGGCAACUCUUGUCCAGGGCAUGACUAAAGAUGGUGUGUAUGUGUGGCCGACCAUCCAAUCCUCCUCCUCCCCUCCAAUUAUAGCAUUCUCAAGUACCAAAACUACAUCCUCCAAUUGGCAUCAUAGAUUAGGCCAUCCUGCCUUUCCUAUAUUAAAGCAUGUUAUUUCUGAAUUUCAGUUAAACGUAUCAUCUCCUUUGUCAAAAGAAUUAGUAUGCAAUGCAUGCUGCUGCAAUAAGAGUCAUAAGCUUCCCUUCUCAACAUCCUCCUUGCAAUCCUCACGUCCCCUUGAAAUUAUUUUUUCUGAUGUAUGGACUUCUCCCUUUCACUCCCAUGAUGGAUUCAAAUAUUACAUCAUUUUUAUCGAUCAUUACACGAAAUAUAUCUGGUUUUAUCCAUUACAAAAGAAAUCUGAUGUGAAGGAUGUUUUUAUACGUUUCAAAGCCAUUGUGGAAAAUCAUUUCCAAACAAAGAUUAUCACACUGUAUUCAGACAAUGGGAGAGAAUAUGUGGGUCUUUGAAAUUUUCUAGCACUCAAUGGCAUCUCUCAUCUCACCACCCCUCAACAUACACCUGAACACAAUGGCUAUUCUGAGAGAAAACAUCGUCAUAUAGUAGAGACAGGCCUCACACUACUUUCUCAUGCCUCUCUCCCAUUAAUAUUUUGGUCUCAAGCAUUUGCAACAGCAGUAUAUUUAAUUAACAGGUUACCCACCAAUUCUCUUGGUCUUUCCUCACCGUAUCAAUCAAUUUUUGGUACUGCUCCUAAUUACUCCAAGCUAAAAAUCUUCGGGUGUCUAUGUUAUCCUUGGCUUCGACCAUAUUCCUCUCAUAAACUGGAUCCUCGCUCUAAACCGUGCAUUUUUCUUGGCUAUUCAUCUUCGCAACAUGCAUAUCUGUGUUUUGACUCCACCUCCACCAAAAUAUUCAUAUCUCGUCAUGUCAAAUUUGUAGAAACUGUCUUCCCUUACAAGUCAAUACAUCAUCAAUUACCACGUCCUGACUCCACCACUCUUGCUUCCUGGAUCCCUCCUCUUAUUCACAUUUCAGUUCCUCCUCCUACUCUUCCGGUGCCACACACCCCAUCUACUGAGUGCCCACAGGAGCUUCUACCGUGUGCUACUUCUUCAUCUUCAAACUCACCUGGACUACAACCAAUUCCUCCAACUCUGCCAACCCCAUCACCAAACAACCCAACGCCUAUACACCAGACUUCCCACCCUGUUAUACCCCAUCGUAUGACUACUCGCUCUCAAAACAACGUCCACAAACCACAGAGAAAGCUUAACCUUCACACCCAAUUCACUCCCACCUCUGAAACUGAACCUACAACCGUGACCCAAGCUCUCAAAAAUCCUCAUUGGCGUAAGGCCAUGUCAGAAGAAUAUGAUGCCUUAGUCAUCAAUGGGACGUGGGAACUUGUUCCACCUGCUACUGCCUAUAACAUUGUUGGUUGUAAAUGGAUUUUUCGUAUUAAACGAAAUUCUGAUGGCUCCAUUGACAGGUUUAAAGCUCGACUCGUCGCCAAAGGAUUCCAUCAACGACCUGGGGUUGACUACCAUGAAACAUUCAGUCCAGUCGUUAAAACCUGCCACUGUAAAACUUGUCCUCAGCAUUGCUGUCAGUCGUGGGUGGUCUCUUCGCCAACUCGAUGUGAACAAUGCUUUUUUACAGGGUCAUCUUUCAGAAGAUGUCUAUAUGGACCAGCCUCCGGGUUUCAUUGAUUCUGAUCAUCCAACAUUCAUCUGCAAACUUCGUAAAGCCAUUUAUGGUCUUAAACAGGCACCAAGGGCGUGGUACCAUGAGCUGCGCCAAUUCCUCAAGGCUGCUGGAUUUCAGAAUUCCCAUGCAGAUAAUUCACUCUUUAUUCUCACCACUGGUACCACUAGUCUUUAUCUUUUCGUUUACGUGGAUGAUAUCAUUAUCACAGGCAAUCAACCUGCUCUUGUUGAUCAGUUCAUUACUCGGCUUGCUCAGCAAUUUUCUCUUAAAGAUCUUGGGUCUCUAACAUAUUUUCUUGGCAUUGAAGUGGCUCCUCACAGACAAGGUAUUCUACUCUCACAGCGCCGGUAUAUUCAGGAUCUUCUUGCUCGCACCAAUAUGACAGGUGCUAAACCUGUUUCAACCCCACUGCCUACCAAUUCUCCUAUCAGUUUGCACUCCGGAACACCUCUUUCUGAUCCUACAGAAUAUCGCACAAUUGUUGGCAGUCUACAAUACUUGUCCAUGACACGUCCUGACAUCACGUACGCCGUCAACAAAUUAUCGCAAUACAUGCAUCAACCAUCAACUGAGCACUGGGCACUUGUCAAGCGCAUCUUGCGCUAUUUGUGUGGAACAUUAGAUGAAGGGAUUAUAAUUCAUAGUAAUUCUUCACACUCUCUCCAUGCAUUCUCUGAUACAGACUGGGCUGGCGACAAAGAUGACUACUCCUCAACAAGCGCAUAUAUCGUAUACUUAGGACGCAAUCCUAUCUCUUGGAACUCAAAGAAAUAAAAGACUGUUGCACGUUCACCAACAGAAGCCGAGUAUCGAUCUGUUGCAGCUACCGCUGCUGAACUAAAAUGGUUGUGCUCACUAUUGACAGAGCUUGGAAUUAAUUUACAUCAGGCUCCCACAAUCUAUUGCGACAAUAUUGGAGCUACUCAGCUGUGUUCCAAUCCAGUGUUCCACUCAAGAAUGAAACAUGUUGCCAUAGACUUUUAUUUUAUUCGAGAUCAAGUCCAGACAGGUUCUCUACGUGUAGCUCAUGUUUCUUCCCGUGAUCAGCUUGCUGAUGCACUUACAAAAUCCCUACCCCGCUCCACGUUUCAAAAUCUUAAAAUCAAGAUUGGCCUCUCGUGUCGUGGCCUAUCUUGAGGGGGCAUAUCAGAUGACAACUACUAUCCCGUAUUGUUAGUGAUUUGAAUAACUUCAAAUUCAAAUCUAAGUGUAUCUAUAAAUUGAUAGGAUCUUAUCUUUUGUUAUCUCUAUAACAGACAUGUACGUGUAUUAUAUAAACACUGGAAAGUGAAUGGAAUGAAUUGAGCUUUCCUUCCUUCUCUGUAAUACGUCUAUCAAACACAAUAACAAUAAGCUACGUCAUGUGUUUAUGUAGGAAUAAAUUCCAUAUUUGGAAAUUAAAAUGUAUCUCAUGUCGUUACAUAUAAAUAUAUGUUGCUAGUGACUUGAUCUCUUAAUAAAGAAACAAUGUUGACUAUUGUGACGUUGGUGUCCUUACUUCUUUCUCAAUAAUUGUUUCUUUUUUCUUCCCUUCUGCCAAUAAUUUACUCUCUCCUCUUUCAAAAUUGAAGGAGCUGAAACAUGAAGAGACCUAAACAUAGAAUACAAAAAACCAAAGGGACAAAAAUGAAUAGAAUGAGACUUUUGAAUGAAAAUUAAAAAAAAGGAGGAAAGGUCCCGUUUACUGUUUUAUGCAUUUUAUUUUCAUCAUUUUUCUUUCAAUUAUUUUUAUGCUAUAAAUCUAAAUCCAAAUUCAUUUAACAACUUGUUGUUAUCUAUUUUUCGGUACUCGCAUAAAAAAAUAAAAAAACAAAAUUAAAAAAUAUAUUAGGAAAAAUACAAAACAUAUAUAGUAAUGAGAAUAGGAUGCUAGAUUGCUCAGAAAAUAGCCAAAAAUUAUAAAAAUUAUUUUUAUUGCCAAGAACAUAUAAUUUUUAUUUUUAUAAAUGCAUUAUGUAAAUACAAUUUAUUUAUAUAAAAUAAACAUAAACAAUUAGAAAAAAAUUAUAAUAAUCUCUUUGAAGCACUAUAACAUUAAAAAAGUAAUUAAAAAAGUGAAAUAAACAAUUUAAAAAAUUAGAGAGAGGAUGUUAAUUAAAGUUUAAAUAAAAAAAUUAAUAAAAAGCUUUCUGAAAAAGGAAAAAGCUAGGUGAGAGAUUGUAAAUUGAAAGAAAUCGCAGGGAUCUAAAAGUUCUAUUUUUUUAAUAUUAAAUUUAAUCGUUUUCUUUUAAUUUUUGUUAACUAUGAAUAAAGUUUUAUUUCAUAAAAUGGAUCAAUAAUUCAUGAGAGAGAACACAAACUUGAAGAAAUCUCAACACGUGCAACCUUGUUGAUGUAACUUCGAAGGAUGAAAUUAUAACAAUUCAAAAACUUCAAUGAUGAAAAUAAAAAUAAUUGCACCGUUAGUAUGAACAUUGCAUACGUAGUUCCUGGCAAUUGGUAAUGGUAAUGUCCGGGCAUUCGAUGAUCAUUGUUAUUUAUAUAAUCAUCGGAUAUUUACCAAUGUUAUAUCUGUUCAAAUAUCAUUUUAAACGGGUUUUGGGUUGAAAUAUUGCCAUGGGAUAUUAAUGAUCGCGUUAAAAAUUAAUGAAAAAAAGAAAAAAAAAGAAAAAGAUAUAGAGAUAGAUAAGCGAUGGAUGAGCAGGCACCAUUUCUGAAACAAAUAACAAACGUUUGAAGAUGUAAGGUUGUUGUUUUGAAUUUUGAUCCUCUUCUUGGUGAUUAUGGUACGUGUCAGCCACUUUGUCCUAAUCUUGGUUCAAUUCUUGUUUUGAUGGUUCUAUGCAAAUCUAUGUUUCUUUUGGUUUAUUCAAUGUUAUUUAAAGUUCCAUUGCUCUUUCUUUCAUGAAGUUCUCUUAUGGACGUCUUGCGCAGAUAAAAUUCUUACUUCCUGAAGCUACACAGAUUCAUAAGAUUAUGUUACAUGACAAGCUAGAAAUCACCAUGCAAGAAGCCUGAUAUGAUUGCUUUGCUUCUAGGUAUGACAUUUUUCCCUCUAUCAGUUUUCUUGACGCCUGAGUUUUCAAGUGGAUGGAUUGCUGUGGAAUUGUGAAUUAGUUGUUAAGAAUAUAACAUUGCAGUUUAGAUGGAGGGGGAGCUCAUCUGUAGAUCAGAAAACCUGCCAGCCUGAUUCAACGCACCGGCUGAUGCCUAUUCAUUAGCCUGACCUUCUUUCUCUGAUUCACCACAUGUUCCAGUCAGCUAGCCUCUCUCCAAUCACAAAGGAGGAACUUGUGCACAAGAUAAUUCUAAAUAGUUUAGAUGUGUCAAAAUGGCUCUGCCUUUAUAGCACCCGUGGCAUUUUUCUUGUUGAAUCACUGGUCAGUGAACUCACCCAGUCUUCUCUUACAGGGGAGAUUGAAGAAAACAUUGGGUUCUAGAAAAGCAAGUUCCGGAUUGGGAUUGCAGGAUACCAGCACCUAGCGGCGAUGUGUUGUACGAGUGGGCGUAUCGUACAUCUCUUUGAUCUUACAUGCAACCAUCUUUCCAUGAAGAGAGCACACCAACGCAAAUAUUGUGUGGGGGCACCUUGCCAUUAGAAGAUGAAUAUGCGUGCUUCUCCGUAUAAGUGAAUAUUUGCAGAUGCUUAAACGUCACAAUGAAACAAAUUAAUCUAGUUGUUUUUACGGUAAGAAAGCAACACCACAAUUUCCCUUAUGAGUUGGCCCUGUUGCCAUUCCCUUCUGCCUCUCUGGCCCUGUGCAGGAUCAAGAAAACACCAGGCAACGGUUAUAGCAAAGGACGAUAUCUAAAGGCAUCUUGAUUCAAUACAAGUAAAACUGGCACUGGUGGGGAAAUGCAAUUGAUUCAUCAAUUUGGAGUCUUGGACAUUGUGCUCUCGCUUAGCUGGUCCUUGCCCAAUUACGUGCUUCUUUCAUAGACUUGUGUGUUUGGCCUUGCUAUAACUUAUCCGUAGGAUAUCUAUCCAUUGCUGGAUACAUCAGUCUACAUAGUUUUAUGUCCCCCAUGAAAGUCGGUGACCAAAAUGCGCCUCUUAUUUGAUUUUGAUGACUUAGCUUUUCCUUGCUGAAGGUGGAAUUUAAAACCCUGAGAAGCUGUUUUAAGACACUGACCAACACAUUUGUAUGUCUGGUGGCAUUUUUGAUAAAAUUAUAAAUAGGCCGACUCUGAUGCAUCUCUGCGUGCGUCUUAUAGAUGAAUGAAGCGCCAGAGCUUAAAGCUUCUGCUGCAAAGUUGUGCAGAUCUCGUUACUCUCAAGCAAAUCCAUGCCCAAGCUCUCACUCAAGGAUUACUCUUCAUUGAGCAACCCUUGGCCUGCAAAUUAGUUAAUAGCUAUGCUAAAUUGGGUAAUCCACAUGAUGCACAGAAGGUGUUUGGUUAUAUUCAAGACCCCGAUAGAGUAACUUAUACUUCUCUAAUCAAUCUUUACUUGAGCACUCAUCUUCCAAUCAAAGCCUUUUCAGUUUUUUCAAAGCUGGUAAAUGAGGGUUUAAGGCCUGACAGCCAUGCAGUUGUUGGUGCAUUAUCAGCUUGUGGAAAAAAACAAGAUUUGCUAAAUGGGAAGCUAGUGCAUGGGAUGAUCUUUAGAUUUCAGUUGGGGGCGAAUUCGAUUGUUGGUAAUGCUUUGAUUGAUAUGUAUUGCAGAAAUGGUGAAAUUAAGAUAGCCCAGUUGGUGUUUAAGCAAAUGGGUAUCAAAGAUGUGUCUUCUUGGACCAGUUUGCUUAAUGGGUUUGUAAUGUGCAAUGGUUUAGAGUCAGCUAGGCGUGUGUUUGAUGAAAUGCCAUGGAGGAAUGACGUUGCUUGGACUGCGAUGAUAACAGGUUAUGUUCGAGGAGGAAUGCCAAUUCAGGGUCUUGAAAUGUUUAAGCAAAUGAAAGCUGAAGGGGAAAACCAGCCUACGGUUAUCACAGCAGUGGCUGUUCUCUCGGGUUGUGCUGAUCUUGGGGCUCAUGAUCAUGGUCAAGCUGUUCAUGGUUAUAUCAGCAAAGUUAAUCUCGAUAAAGGUGCUACUGUGAGCAAUGCUUUAAUGGAUAUGUACUCAAAGGGUGGGUGCGUUGAGUCUGCUAUGAAGAUAUUCGAUAGAUUGGUGAAAAAAGAUGUGUUUUCAUGGACUACUAUGAUAUCAGCGCACUCAUCUCAUGGUAAAGGAAACCAUGCCCUUGAAGUUUUCUAUGACAUGUUGGAAUCUGGGGUCAUCCCAAAUGAUGUUACAUUUCUGUUGGUUCUAUCAGGUUGCAGCCAUUCAGGAUUGCUUGUCGAGGCAAAUAAAUUGUUUAACGGAAUGAUCCAACGUUAUGGUUUUGAACCCAAGAUUGAGCAUUAUGGAUGCAUGGUAGACCUUCUUUGUCGAGCAGGGCUUUUGGAAGAGGCAAAAGAGUUUAUCGAUAAUAUGCCUAUGGACCCAGAUGCUGUUAUCUGGCGAUCCUUGCUUAGCGCUUGUAUGAACCAGAGGAACUUGGAAUUGGCUGAAAUUGCAGGAAAGAAGAUAAUUGAAUUGGAACCGCAUGAUGAUGGAGUGUAUGUGCUCCUUUCCAACAUCUAUCAUGUAGCAAAUAGGAUGAAGGACGCACGGAAGAUGAGGAAAAUGAUGGGUGAUCAAAAAGUCAUGAAAAAACCAGCGUGUAGUUACAUUGAGUUAAAUGGUGUUGUUCAUGAAUUUCAUACAGAAAAUGCAACUCAUCAUGCUUCCACCAAAAUUUACAUGUUGCUAGAAAUGAUCAAUGAGAAUUUGAGAUUGGAUUCGGAUUACUCUUUGUUGGAAAUGGACUUGGUAUAUGACGGGCUGCUUUGAAAUAGGGCAAGGUUUUGGCAGAGCAUUUUGGAGAAGAGUUUUGGUCAAGGCAGCCGUGGAUUGAAGCACUUGUAAACUUGAGGACGGUUCAAUUUUUUACAUGAAUUACUAAGAUGCACUUUUCCUUUACUUAGGUGGCUCUUAAAAAUUAAAUUAAUGAAGUCUUUUCUAUGCUUUCUACAUGAAUUUUCAUUAGAUUGCUCUUAUGUCCACAUUGAUAGAAAACCAAAUCAGAUAGCUACCAAGACAUUACUGUUAAUAUGUACAAUACGGCAGUCACGUAGACCAUUUCUAAUAACGUGAAAUCAGGUUUGGAUUAGUUCUUGCAAACAGAAUCUUAGACAGCCAUCGCAAGAAAACAGGGUGUAAUAUACAGCUUUCUUUUAUUGCCACUAACGUGUUCUCAUGAUCUCCUCAUCAAACAAGCCAUGUGAAGUGACUUGAACUGCAAACCAGAAAUUAAUUAAAAAAGAAGUUCUGACUUCAUACAAAUCUUUGACAUUGCAUCUUUAAUCAAAAACACAGUAUCAACUAUUGUAAUAUACAGCUUUCUUUUAUUGCCUAAGGAACUCUGCUUUCCCGAAAACAGGGUGUGGUUUUGGACCAUCACAAUUUUAUCAAAUAACACACACAAAUAUUAACAAAGACUGAUCAUAUUGUACGAGCUACUCAAGAAUAUAAAAUAUAGGAUCAGGUUUAUGGCUGGUCAAGCCACCAGUUUUAAAUGUCAUACACAGCGCUCCUUCAAAAGUUCUUACCAGCAUCAUGCAGGCAUGCAUGCAGGCAUCCCAUUGUAUUGCUAAUUAACUCUAUAAAUUCAAGCCUCUUCCCAUUCAUUCUAGCAUAAACACAUCACGCACAUUGAAAGUCACCCAUAACGACAAUGAGAGCUGCAAUUCUAGCAUUGUCCUUCCUUCUUUUUGCCUUAGCUGCAAAUCAAUUGCCCAGGGCUGCAGCUACUGCUGCCCCUGAGACAGUGCUCGACGUCACUGGUAAGAUACUUAGAACCGGCACUAGCUACUACAUCCUGCCGGUGAUCCGUGGGAGAGGUGGUGGGCUCAAAAUGGCUAGCACUGUAAGAAGAACCUGCCCGCUUGAUGUUGUCCAGGACCGAUAUGAGGCAUCAAAUGGUCUCCCACUGAAAUUCACACCUGUGAACACCAAGAAAGGUGUCGUCCGCGUCCACACCGAUCUUAACAUAAGAUUCUCUGCUGCAUCAAUCUGUCACCAGUCAACAGCGUGGAAGCUUGACAACUACGAUGAAUGGACAAAACAAUGGUUUGUCACAACCAAU
rnacentral:lncRNA from 1 species